CCGGGUGCAAGAGUCCCGGUCACAAUUUGCCCUUUCUCUAAACCCCCGCUGGGGUGGGCAGGAGACCGACUCGGUAACUAUUCCAGGAUCUCCGGGAUCUUCCUCGGCCGAAGCCCCGCGCGGAGAGGGCACUUUCUGGGCACCCUGGGCUCCUCCAGCCCCGGUUCUCUCGGCCGCUUUUCCGCCGGCUUCGCCCCCCCUCCGCCUGCCCGGCGCUCUCAGCCUCAACAGGGCGUCAGCCGCCCUACCCCACCCUUUCUCUCAGUGGCACGUCUCUCCCCGAGUCCCACUCCUAACGUUCUCGUAAUUCCGUCCCCAGGGCUCCGACCGCCGGUUCAUUGGCCCUCCCGGAGCCCGAGGGCGCGGCUUCCCCACCCCUGCGUCCACCGCGCGUCCGGACACGGGCAGCCGGGACUUGGCCAAUGGCGUCGGGGGGCAGGGCAGGGGCGGAGCCGGCGGCGGGGGCCGGGGUUGCUGGGCUGGGAGCGCCGGGACUGGCUGCGCCGCCGGGCCUGGGUGACGAGGGGCGGGCGCGCGCACCCCGGCAGAAGGGAUGGGGGUUGGGAGGAGGCCAUAAAACGAGAGGCGGGGCGCGCGCCGCGGCAGAAAGAGCGAAGCUCUGGCCCGGCGUGGAGCGGGCGCACGACGGGACGCUGGGCCGGGCACCGGGCUGUGUGGAGAAGUGAGCGCGCUCGUCUGAUCCCCGCGCCCGCCACCCCGCGCCACCGGCGGCGAGCUCCAGGGCCCGCCCGAGGCCUCCGUUCUCUCUGUCCUCCGCCCCGCAGCGGCGACCAGGUGCACUCGGCGAGCCCGCCGCUCCCGACCCUCCCGCGCCCCCGCCCUGCCGCGCUGCUCCCCGCCCCGCCGCGGUCUGUGGUCCAAGCCGCCCCAGAAGCAGCCCGAACAAGAUCACUCAAGGUGAAGGAUAAUCUACCAAUACCAGCACUUUGAAUGAAAAUUUGUUUCUCUGCCACAAACUGAACACUUUUUUUUUUUUUGGUGGGGGAGUUGAAACAAACCU
rnacentral:lncRNA from 1 species